rnacentral:rRNA from 1 species
UGAGGAAUAUUGGUCAAUGGACGGAAGUCUGAACCAGCCAAGUAGCGUGCAGGAUGACGGCCCUAUGGGUUGUAAACUGCUUUUAUAUGGGGAUAAAGUGGGGAACGUGUUCCCUUUUGCAGGUACCAUAUGAAUAAGGACCGGCUAAUUCCGUGCCAGCAGCCGCGGUAAUACGGAAGGUUCGGGCGUUAUCCGGAUUUAUUGGGUUUAAAGGGAGCGUAGGCCGUUUGGUAAGCGUGUUGUGAAAUGUAGGAGCUCAACUUCUAGAUUGCAGCGCGAACUGUCAGACUUGAGUGCGCACAACGUAGGCGGAAUUCAUGGUGUAGCGGUGAAAUGCUUAGAUAUCAUGAAGAACUCCGAUUGCGAAGGCAGCUUACGGGAGCGCAACUGACGCUGAAGCUCGAAGGUGCGGGUAUCGAACAGG